rnacentral:rRNA from 1 species
UACGUAGGGUGCGAGCGUUAAUCGGAAUUACUGGGUUUAAAGGGUGCGUAGGUGGGUUGGUAAGUCAGUGGUGAAAUCCCCGAGCUUAACUUGGGAACUGCCAUUGAUACUAUUAAUCUUGAAUAUUGUGGAGGUCAGCGGAAUAUGUCAUGUAGCGGUGAAAUGCUUAGAGAUGACAUAGAACACCAAUUGCGCAGGCAGCUGGCUACGCAUAUAUUGACACUGAGGCACGAAAGCGUGGGGAUCAAACAGG